ACACUAGAUCCCUUCCUAUGGCCAUGGUAACAAAGUGUCACAAGCCAUGUACAUCUAUUACCCGUUUGUUUGUAAGGAUCCCUAUCUGGAACUGACAGGAAAGUAGAGGUCAUAGGUCUCAGAGGGGAUAUAAUUAUUACUGUUCUGUUGAAUAGAUGGAAUCCUCUUGUUAAAUUGCCUUUGAAACAUUUUGUUUAUACCUAUGUCAGCCUCAGUCAAUCAGGAUGGAAAACUUCCUCUUUGUAAUGGGUGUUGUACCUGAGACUCAUAAAAUAUCAAACUUCUGAGAUGACUUAACCAUUGCUCAAGCCUAAUUGCUCAAUACUCUGCCACAGAUGAGGGAAAUUAAUCAAACACCUAUAUCACCCCUUCCAAGGCUUGUGCAAAGAGAAUUAAAGAAAUGUAGGUGCUGGAGGAAAGGGUUCAGUGUUGUAUAGACUUUCCUUCUAAUUGAAGUAUUCACUUCUAGAGAAAGGACAGAGAGGUUCCUAAGGCUCAGGAAGUAAGCAAAACUCACAAAGUUUAGAAAGCAGAAACUUACAAGAUUCAUAUACUCACUCUCAAAGAUUAUAUUAGAGAUACACAGCUGCUGGGAAGAGGAAACUCUCCAACUGGAAAGCCUCCUACACGCUAUGCAAGAAACUCCAGGGAUGCAGAUGCUGUGAGUCAUGACUCAAGAUAAAGUACACAUUUCAGUGCUGUAGCUCUCUUUGAGUCAUCUACUGCUGUUAAGCAACUGGUCAUGUAUAAUUCUGCAAGUAGUUACAACAAGCUCACAGCUUCAUUAAGCUAGACUACGUAAGAACUGUUCCUGAAAUCUGUUAUCAGUGACCUCUGUAAAGUAAACAGAUUUGUGUGCAUCUCCCAGGAAGUCUUCUAACAGCUUCCUGGGAAGUGAUACGUCCAUCACUUUGUGAAGCUUUACAGCCUAAGCCAGCCUGUUACAAAGGUCUUCAGAGGAGAGCUACUUGCUACCAACUAUCUAAACCUAAGGAAAGGCAAUGCGUUGUGUCAUGGAUUUCCCCUUCGUCUCUAUUCAAGGUCAGACCUGAGGGCUAUCCUGUAUCACUUCUGAUCUGUUCUUGUCCCCACCACUGUUGGGUUCUUCCAAGCUCUAAGCUUAUGGACCGCAUGAGGGGCUUUCCAGCACAGCCCAAGCUUACACUCUUCCCCUUCCAUCUCCUCGUCAUGACUUGUACCUCUUGCUUGAAUCCUGCCAUUUCCAGCUGCUAAGAAUGAGUGCUGUGGGAAUCACCCACCAAAUCAGAGGCUGACACGGAAGGCCAUAGCUUUAUGUCCCUUCCCAUUGUAAUUCCUCCUUUAAAUAAGACUUUCCUCUAAGCAGCCAUGCCUGCCUCUGUUACAUAUCUUGUUACAUAUAGCAGUGGGCAUGAAGAGGUCACCACAGUUUGCUGACUGUCUCUUGGGGAACUGCCAUACAGUCUCUAGUCUGAACUGUUGUCAGAGUGUCUGCAUACUCACAUUUUGAAUUCCAGUUACGAAGAGAAUCCCCAUUCCAAUAUCACAUGAAAAAGGAUGACCAAACUGGGAUUCGCCCAAAGAUACUCCAUCCUGAGACAUCUCAACCUUGGCUGCAUGCCCUGUCACACAUCGCCGGGAGACUGGAAUCACCACUGAGGCAGAGAGGCACACCACCCCUUACUACGUGCAGAAAAGAACCCCUGCUGGGAUUGUCCCCUGGACUCUGCCUUCAAACCGAUCAUAGAUGUAUGUCUCAUCAUACACUGAAUGGAUGCUUCAAUUCAGAGGAAGUGGAAGUUAACAGAGCUGUGUUCCCUCCCUGCCUAAGAAGCUCGUGCAGCAAAGCUACAGACAAUAGGAUUCAAUCUAGGACCUGAAGUCACAAUCAGAACAAUAUCUUAGCCAUCAAACAAAAAUCAAUGAAAUUUGGUUUUGUAUUAAUCAUGUUUUUUAAACAGGCAAAAUAAAAUACGUUAUUAUUUGAAGCUCUAGAAGAGAUACAUUUUGCUUUUAUGUGAGCUUUAAGUGAAAUAAAAUCUCAAUUUUAAUGCUCAUUAUAAGAACUGCAUCUGAAAAAAUAAAGUACUUUAUCUGUU